GUGCUCGCUUCGGCAGCACCUAUACUAAAAUUGGAACGAUACACAGAAGAUUAGCAUGGCCCCUGCGCACAGAUGACACACAAAUUCGUGAAGCCUUCCAUAAAUAA